rnacentral:tRNA from 1 species
GUAAUAUUAGUAUAAAUUUUUAUUAUUUUUAAUUUUCGAAAAGAUUGUAUAUUAUG